rnacentral:lncRNA from 1 species
AAACUCUGGCUAACCUUCUGAUCUACCCUGUACCUGCACAUCUGGGGUUAGGGGAGAGGGGUGAGCUACAAAGCCUAGUGAGCAGAAUAGUAUAAAACAUUAUAUUAAAAUUUUAUGCUUUCAUGGAAUGCAACACAUCACAACAAAUCACAUCUCGGAUGGUAUUGUCACCUAUAGUCCUCUACAUAGGUCCAACUGUGCCGGGACGUAGAAUGGGUCAACCGGUCUUUCCCUUAUCAUAACAUAUCAUAUGGACCAACUGUGCCAGGGACGUAGAAUGGGUACAACCUGGACUUUCUCUUACAUCGUGCCAGGGACGUAGAAUGGGUACAACCUGGACUUCCAUACCAUAACAUGCCAUAACAUCAAUCAUAUCAUAUGAGGACUAAAGGAUCAUCCAAUAACCAAUCCACAUCAACAUUAACAUCAUAAAUGCAAUGCAACAUAUUCGUGAAUACUAAUGCAAGCAUCCUAUUAUAUCUCAUGGCAUUCAUGAUGCAUGGAUCAUGCUCAAAAUUCAUAUUUCAUUUAUUUAAAACUUAAGGUUUAUUCCAC